AGAUUGAACGCUGGCGGCAUGCCUUACACAUGCAAGUCGAACGGCAGCACGGGGGCAACCCUGGUGGCGAGUGGCGAACGGGUGAGUAAUACAUCGGAACGUAUCCUGUAGCGGGGGAUAACCUCUCGAAAGAGAGGCUAAUACCGCAUACGACCUACGGGUGAAAGGAGGGGGAUCGC
rnacentral:rRNA from 1 species